rnacentral:rRNA from 1 species
UGGCGGCCNCGGGUCAAUCCCGAGGCCACGCCCGUCUGAGGGUCGGCU